UGUUUACUUGCAUUACGUUUCUCAACCAAGCCAAGAGCCUCAUGAAUCCUCUGCCACCAUGAAAAAAUCAUAUCUCGUGAAUCCUCUGAUAACUCUUUCACAUCUAUUUUUCCUCAGAUGAGUUUGCAUGUGGUGCCUAUAAUAAAUUCAUGUUUACUUGCUUCCUUUUUUGCAUUUGCUCUACAGGUCAAGCACACUCUACAAUUCUCCGGCGGAAAUUUGGAGAGGAACAUCUCGAGAGAUCUUGCCACGUACACAUAUUAAUAUCCUUUUCGAUACUCCGUCACCAUCUUUAUUUCUGUUAGCACCAUCUAUAUUUCUGUUUGCAAUUGAGAUCUCCAUAUCCAGCUUGAAAAUCUUUUUCAUCUUGUGUUUGGACUGUGGUGAUGGUGAGGUCAUUCUGAAAAUUUAGUGUAGAAAUAUUUGUUUAAUUAGAUAAUAGAUACCAAACUAUACGAUUAUGAUUUUUUUUGUAUCUAGCUUGUGCUUCCAUUAGUGCUACGUAUAUCUUGAUGUUGAAGAUGUCCAAGGAGUUCAGAGGGAUUGAAUUAACCUAUUUUUUGCCCAUUUAAUUAGCUAAGGUAAAUUAUUUAUACCAUACUUUUGACAAGUACCUACUCUACUUAAAGCAUAGUUAUCAUCUGAACUGAUAAUUUAUCUUUUGAUUAAUCUAUCAUUUAUAGGUGAAAACAGUGGAAGGACUGAACUGCAGAUACUUCAAUCGGUGAUGGGCAAAGAAAAGUGCACAUACUUAUAUAAUGAGUGCUGUUAUUAAGGUAAUUUCGUCCUUUACAUGAAGCAUUCAACAAGUACCUGCUCUACUUAACCCGUAAAUAUCCUCAAAACUGAUCUUUUACGAUUUGAUUAAUCUAUCAUUUUUUUUAGGUGAAAACAUUUGAUAGACGUUGAACCGGAGAUACAUCGGUUACUUAACCCGGUAAUUUGCUUAUCUUGGC
rnacentral:lncRNA from 1 species